GGGUAUGGCUGUUCGCCAUUUAAAGUGGUACGCGAGCUGGGUUUAGAACGUCGUGAGACAGUUCGGUCCCUAUCUGCCGUGGGCGCUGGAGAACUGAGGGGGGCUGCUCCUAGUACGAGAGGACCGGAGUGGACGCAUCACUGGUGUUCGGGUUGUCAUGCCAAUGGCACUGCCCGGUAGCUAAAUGCGGAAGAGAUAAGUGCUGAAAGCAUCUAAGCACGAAACUUGCCCCGAGAUGAGUUCUCCCUGAGACUUAGAGUCUCCUGAAGGAACGUUGAAGACGACGACGUUGAUAGGCCGGGUGUGUAAGCGCAGCGAUGCGUUGAGCUAACCGGUACUAAUGAACCGUGAGGCUUAACCUU
rnacentral:rRNA from 1 species